rnacentral:lncRNA from 1 species
CCCGAGUUCAGAUGAUUUUCCUGCCUCAACCUCCCGAGUAGCUGGGAUUACAGGCACACACCACCACUCCCGGCUAAUUUUUGUAUUUUUAGUAGAGAUGGGGUUUCACCAUGUUGGCCAGGCUGGUCUUGAACUCCUGACUUCAAAUGAUCCACCCACCUCGGCCUCCCAAAGUGCCUGGAUUACAGGCGUGAGCCACUGUGCCCGGCCUCUCAUUUUCUCUCUCAUUCUCUCUUUCUCUCUCUUAUUCUCUCUUUCAUUCUCUUUCUCUCUCCCACUCUGUUUCUCUCAUUCUCCCUCCCAGUCUCUCCGUCUCUCUUCUUUUGCAUAAUUCUGUCAUUCUCUUUCUCUCUCAUUCUCUCUCCCACAAUCUCUCUCUUUCUCUCCCUCUUCUUUCCCUCUCUCUUUUUGCAUGACUCUGUCAUUCUCUCUCAUUCUUUCUCCCACUCAGUUUUCUCUCUUUUUGCAUGACUCUGUCACUCUCUCUCUCUGUCAUUCUCUCGCUCUGUGUCUUUCUCCCUCCGCCUCCCCAGCCCCCACUAUUCUAGAGUCUUUUCUCUUCCCCCUUCACACACUGAAAUGUCACAACAAUGCGAGCCAUUUUCCUCCCAGUCUCAUGGAGACCCAGAAACUUAGAGGUUCUCCUAUAUUUGAGUAAAACAUUCUCAUUUCAGGCUGAGCGCGGUGGCUCACACCUGUAAUCCCAGCACUUUGAGAGGCCAAGCGGGGGCAGGUCUCUUGAGUCCAAAGUUUGAGACCAGCCUGGGCAACAUGGCAAAACCCUGUCUCUACUAAAAAUACAAAAAGAAUUUGCCUGAUGAGGGGCUGCAUACCCAUGGACCCAGCUACUCAGGGGGCUGAGGUGGGAGGAUCACUUGAGCCUGGGAGGUCAAGGCUGCAGUGAGACAUGAUUGCACCAUUGCACUCCAGCCUCGGCAACAGAGCAAGACCCUGUCUCAAGAAAAAGAGAAAAAAUAUCAUUCUCAUUUCAAGCCAUUUAUCCCCUCUUUUCUCACACAUAGAAGCAAGCUUGGUUUCAUUUCUCUAAUUUUCGAUGUAGCAUGUUUAAGCAGUAGGAGAGAUACCUGGACCUCUAGAUGCUAAUUAACAUUGGCAUUGAUGAGACACGUCUGCCUACUUAAUGAACACGUUCUGAUCGCUCCUGUUUUGAGGCAGUAUGCUGAGAGUCAGAAAUAAAAAGGCUGAGGGAAACAUUAUAUUCUCCUUUCCAGAUGAUAUAGUCUAAUGGGAAAUGCAGGUUUAUGAACAAAUAACCAGGACUUACUGUUAGACAUAGUACAUAGCACAUAGCAAAUUUAACAAAAUAGUUUAUCUUUGCUGUGUGUUUGUGUGUGUGUGUGUGUGUGUGUGUGCACGCGCGCAUGGGUGUCUGUCUCUCUUUUUCCCCCUCAGCAGACAAAAGACGAGGAUGACCUUUAGAAGGCUUGGAGGCAGAUGGAUGCUGCGGUGUGAAUGUGUGUGACCCCCAAAAUUCCUAUGUUGAAAUGCUAACCCCCAAAGUCAUGAGGUUAGGAGGUGGGACCUUUGGGAGGUGCUGAUGUCAUGAGGGUGGGGCCUCAUGAAUGGGAUCAGUGCCCUUAGAAAAGGGACCCCAGAAAGCUCCCUCACCCUUUCCACCAUGUGAGGACACAGUGAGAAGGUGCCAUCUAUGAACCAGGAAGCCCUCACCAGACACUGAAUCUGCCACACCUUGCUCCUGGACCUCCAGCCUCCAGAACCAUGAGCAAUAAACAUCUGUUGUCUACAAGCCUCCCAGCCCAAAUGGACUAGGACUCUAAGCUAGCAGUAACUGUCAUGGCAGGCAGGACGGAGAUGGAGGCAAUGAACUCAUGGCAAUACACAGGACAACCCAACAAGAAGUCCCAGAAAUCUUAACCAUCUCAGGAAUGGGAGACAGCAGGUGGCUCUCAAGGUGCAGACACAGGCGGGGCUGGAGACAGGAGCUUUGCACAGCAGUGCUUGUCAGAAGAAUUCUCCUCCUACUCCUUGCAGCCAGAUGAACACAUCUCGACAACUUGGACAAACUUACUUGUAAUUUUAACCAGUGAUGAAUAAGCAAAGAUCUAGAUUCAUGGACGCCGGAGAGAGCUGAGAGUAAAGUUCUGAAAUUCUGAUUGACUUCUUGACGCAAUCACAUGACAUCAAAAUUGCUGAAAAAGUCCCAUCACUACAGUGAAAGUAUCCAUGCACUGGAGAGCUGGAAGCAAGAGCGAGAUGCCCCCAGAUCCUAAACAGGGAAUCCAGCCAUUUGCUGAAGACAAAAACAGGCACGUGGAAAUGAGUCCCUUUGACCCUGUACUCAAAGUAUCUCCAACCACAUGGGUAAAAGACCAAACAUGGCACAAACAGUCCCAUGUGGGAAGACCGCCCCAAGGGGCAGAAGUCACCAGGCCUGCAUUUUUGCACGUGGUUUAGACUAUUCUCUGACUGUUCCCCCUGCAUCCCAGGCUCUUCUGCGCAGAGGAGGGGGUGCAUGGCCUGUGCUGGCUUGGAGGAGGAGGGGGCUGGGGCAGAGAGCCCUGGGGAAGGGCUAUAGGCAGAGAACAUCAACUCAAAGGUGGUAGGUACCCAGGUCUGCUCUCCCCGAGGGAGAGAAGUGGGAGGGUCUUGCCAGCCUGAGAACACACCGGCUUUGUCUUUUUGGCAGAACAAAGACUUCUUUCGGAGAAGACUGACUGAGUGGCCUAAUUCCUUCUCAUCUGUGUGUGCAGCUGGCCCUCAAUAUCCUCAGGGAGUUGGUUCUCGGACUUCCACUGAUAUCAAAAUCCAAGGAUGCUCAAGCCCCUUGUAGCAAACGAUGCAGUAUCUGCAUAUCACCCAGGCAUAUCCUCCCAUACACUUUAAGCCAUCUCUACUUAUAAUACCUAAUACAGUGUAAUUGUUUUGUCAAUUGUUGAGACACAGUAUCAUUUUUCUGUUUGUUUAUUUAGAGACAGGGUCUCACUGUCACCCAGGCUGGAGUGCAGUGACACCAUCAUAGCUCACUGCAGCCUCCAACUCGUGGACUCAAAUGAUCCUCCCCACUCAGCCUCCUGAGUAGCUGGGACUACAGCCACACAUCACUACUUGUAGCUAAUUUUUUUAAAUUUAAUUUUUGUACAGACAGGGUCUCACUAUGUUCUCAUGCCUCAGCUUCCCAAGCACCUGGGAUUGCAGGUGUGUGCCACCAUGCCUGGCUAAUUUUUUUUGUGCGUGUAUAUUUUUAGUAGAGAUGGGGUUUUGCUAUGUUGGCCAGGCUGGCCUCGAACUCAUAACCUCAAGUGAUCUGCCCACCCCGGCCUCCCAAAGAGCUGGGAUUACAGGCAUGAGCCACCCCGCCUGGCCAACUUCAGGAUUUUAAAGAAUAGCAUCAUGGAUUUCUACUUCCCCUUGACACAGCCCUACAUUCACUUCUCAUCCUCAACUCUCCAGCCCUCCGCUCCGUGAAGGCCAAUCCUGGUGAUCUGCUGGGACUGAAGCCUUUUCCCAUCACAUGGCUGAGAUGACCUAGAAUGUAAAAUUGCCAAACGUGCCCUCAGCCAUCUCCAUGGGAUCUGCAGCUUGCCCGAUAGCUGGCCUCCAGCAACUCCAUGGAGGACCUGGGACUCCAGUUCCCACUAUAUUCUGAAUCUCUGCUGUAUGCAGUGGUGCACGCCUGUAAUCCCAGCACUUUGGGAGGCUGAGGCAGGGGGAUUGCUUGAGCACAGGUAUUCGAGGCUGCAGUGAGCUGUGAUCGCAUCACUGCACUCCAGCCUGGGAGACAGAGGGAGACCCUAUUUCAAAAAAAAAAAAUCUGAGUCUGACUCUUUUGUGGAAAAUGAACUCUUAUCAUCCUUUGCCUUUUUAACUUCCUCAUGUCUUGUGAGUAGUUUGUCUCUGCAACUGUCUUCCUUAAUAUCUGUCCUUAGCAUCACUCACAAAGACACCCGCAAAUGCCCUCUCUCCUUUCUACACCUCUAACUUUCACAAGCAGUUCCACCUGGAGGAAGCCCCAUCUCCAGUUCUACAAAUGAUUCAAACUCUCUGCCUUUUGUGCAAAUGAGCUGUAUGCAUUUCUCACGGCUGCCUUCACCAAGUACCACAGGCUGGGUGAGCUCCACCUCAGAAACUUACUGUUCUUACAGUUCUGGAGGCCAGAAGAAGUCUGAGAUCAAAGUGUCGGUGGGGUUGGUUCCUUCUGAAGGUGUGGCCCAGCACAGUAAGGCCAAACAUCUACACCAAGGUUUGCAGCGUGAGAAAGGAGGGCAUGUAUUUGUAGGGUACCAAGCAAGGAGAAUCAUGCAGCUCAUGCUUAAGACCUGACCUCCUAGCUGGGCAAGGCAGCUCAUGCCUGUAAUUCCAGCACUUUGGGAGGCCAAGGUGGGUGGAUCACUUGAGCCGAGGAGUUUAAGACUAGCCUGGGCAAAAUACUAAGACCCUGUCUCUACAAAUCAUUAAAGAAUUAGCUGAGCGUGGUGGUACACUCCUGUAGUCCCAGGUCCUCAGUAGGGUGAAGCAAGAGGACCACUUGAGCCUGGGAGGUUGGGGCUGUGGUGAGCUGUGAUGGCACCACUGCACUCCAGCCUGGGCAAAAG